UACGAAGGGGGGCUAGCGUUGUUCGGAAUUACUGGGCGUAAAGCGCACGUAGGCGGACAUUUUAAGUCAGGGGUGAAAUCCCAGAGCUCAACUCUGGAACUGCCUUUGAUACUGGGUGUCUUGAGUAUGGAAGAGGUGAGUGGAAUUCCGAGUGUAGAGGUGAAAUUCGUAGAUAUUCGGAGGAACACCAGUGGCGAAGGGCGGCUCACUGGUCCAUUACUGACGCUGAGGUGCGAAAGCGUGGGGAGCAAACAGG
rnacentral:rRNA from 1 species